rnacentral:rRNA from 1 species
AACCUCCGCAAUGUGAGAAAUCGCGACGGGGGGAUCCCAAGUGCCAUUCUUAACGGGAUGGCUUUUCAUUAGUGUAAAGAGCUUUUGGAAUAAGAGCUGGGCAAGACCGGUGCCAGCCGCCGCGGUAACACCGGCAGCUCUAGUGGUAGCAGUUUUUAUUGGGCCUAAAGCGUCCGUAGCCGGUUUAAUAAGUCUCUGGUGAAAUCCUGUAGCUUAACUGUGGGAAUUGCUGGAGAUACUAUUAGACUUGAGACCGGGAGAGGUUAGAGGUACUCUCAGGGUAGAGGUGAAAUUCUGUAAUCCUGGGAGGACCGCCUGUUGCGAAGGCGUCUAACUGGAACGGUUCUGACGGUGAGGGACGAAAGUUAGGGGCGCGAACCGGAUUAGAUACCCGGGUAGUCCUAACCGUAACGAUGCGGACUUGGUGUUGGGGUGGCUUUGAGCUGCUCCAGUGCCGAAGGGAAGCUGUUAAGUCCGCCGCCUGGGAGUACGGUCGCAAGACUGAAACUUAAAGGAAUU